GGCUGGGCCGGGGCGGCGCCGCGCGGUUAGUUCGAAUCGGCCCCGCACAGGCGCGUGCCGCCUCUGGGCUUUGUGCAGCGGCGGUCCCGGGGCAGCCACUCAGGCUAGUCACAUUAAGGAGUGAUGGACAACUACACAAAAAUAGAGAAGAUUGGUGAAGGUACCUAUGGUGUUGUAUAUAAAGGCCGACACAAAGCCACAGGCCAGGUGGUUGCCAUGAAGAAAAUUCGACUAGAAAGUGAGGAGGAAGGUGUUCCCAGUACAGCAAUCCGAGAAAUUUCCUUAUUAAAAGAGCUACAUCAUCCCAACAUAGUCUGUCUUCAGGAUGUGCUUAUGCAAGAUUCAAGACUGUACCUCAUCUUUGAAUUCCUUUCUAUGGAUCUCAAGAAAUAUUUGGAUUCUAUUCCAACUGGCCAGUAUCUGGAUCCCAUGCUUGUAAAGAGUUACUUGUACCAAAUCUUGCAAGGCAUUGUAUUCUGUCACUCGAGGAGGGUUCUACACAGGGACUUAAAGCCUCAGAACUUGUUAAUAGAUGACAAAGGAGUAAUUAAACUAGCAGACUUUGGAUUGGCCCGAGCAUUUGGAAUUCCUGUCCGGGUCUACACACAUGAAGUUGUGACACUGUGGUACAGAUCUCCAGAGGUGUUGCUAGGAUCUGCUCGUUACUCUACACCUGUAGAUAUAUGGAGUAUAGGCACAAUAUUUGCUGAGCUGGCCACUAAAAAACCGCUCUUCCAUGGGGACUCUGAAAUUGAUCAGCUCUUCAGAAUCUUCAGAGCUUUAGGGACUCCCAACAAUGAGGUGUGGCCGGAAGUGGAAUCCUUGCAGGAUUAUAAGAACACAUUUCCCAAGUGGAAACCUGGCAGUUUGGCAUCUCAUGUGAAAAACUUAGAUGAAGAUGGAUUAGAUUUACUUUCUGAUAUCUGAAAAUCUGAAGUUACAGGCCAGGGCUGUCCCACUGACAACCUCCAGGCUGCCACCCAGCUACUGUUGCCCUUCUCCCUCUGGUGGCUGCAGCAGAAGCUGGGGUUUCAGGACUCCUCCCUUCUCUGGUUUCUGCAUGGCACCACCCCAAGGGACAGGACAGGAAAAGGGCAAGAGGGGUAUGGACACAGGAUCCAUCGGGGAUGCAAAUGCUUGAGGACAGUGCUUGGAGGAGUCCUACCACUAGAAGAGAACUAUCCAAUUUGCAGAACUGGAGCUGUCUGGAUUUUGCAACUACUAAGCAGCAAUUUAAGAAUCAAUAAAUUAUUAUUACAUAACCAAAGUCCCUUUUUGCUCAAGGAAAAAGACUGUGAAAUGGGCUCUAUGGCGAUCAUCUCCAGUAAAUGAUUCAAAACUUACCAACAACCCACAUUAGCCUUCUUAUGAUUGUAUCAGUAUUGCUAGCAAUUCCUGUAAAACCUUAUGUUUGCAUCUCAUUGUUUUGCUUAUGCAAUGGAAGAACAAUGUUUAAUGCUGGUACUUUCAGGAUGAAGAGAUUCCUUAGCAGGUUGAUGGCUUAUCAGUUGUAAAACAGCUUGUUGCUAUAUCUUCUUCCUGAAAGGCCUGUGCCAAUUUACUGCAAUAUAAAAAUAAGCCAGCAGCUCAUAUGUGCUCUUGUUGCAAAAAAAGCCACCAGCAUACUGAGUUUUAUUAACAAGAGUAUCACUUUCAAAUCAAGUGAUUCUUCUUCUCUGUUGAGGCCUCAUCUGGUAUACCAGGCCUCAGACUGGUGAGGCCUCACCUGGAUGACUGUGUCCAGUUUUGGGUCAGAUUAGAAAGUCCAGUACAGAACAACAAAACUGGUUAGGGGCCUGGGAGACAAGAUUUAUGAGGAAAGAUUGAAAGGGUUAGGGGUAUUUAGUCUGGAGUAAACAAGACUGAGGAAGAAUUUGUUAACAGUCUUCAAAUAACUGAAGGACAAAUGGGCUUCCCUCUGUGGCUGUAAGGGAUAGGACUAAGAACACUGGCCUCAAGCUGCAUCAGAGGAAAUUUAGGAUAGUGAUUAGGUGGAACUUUCUGAUCAUGAGGGUUGUCAAACAUUGGAAACAGCUACCUAGAGAAAUUGUAGAAUCGCCAUCCUUUCAAAUUUUCAAGAGCAGGUGGCUGGGAUGGUUUAUUUAGUCAGAGAUGAUCAUGCCCUGAGCAGGCGGUUGGACUAGAUAACCUUAUGAUCCUACUUUCCUAUGAUCCUGCUGUGGUCCACCAGUCCAUUCAGUAAAAAUAUGUUGAAAUGUUUGAAGUAUUAGGCACAAUCUGUGUUGAUUGUGUUUUAUAACGUAAUCAAAGCAAGUCUUGAUGAGAAUAGUAGGGUUGGCUCACUUGGUUUUAGCCAACUACUAAAACUGUGAGACAGUUAUGAUGCUUUUUUGGAAUCACAGAUCUUUCCCAAGAAUAUUACUUAAAAAUCUAGCCAACUCUUAAGACCUAAUACUAAGAUCAUAUAAGUCAACAUCAAGAAAGGAAUUGCCAUUGUCUUCUAUGGACUUCAGAGAGAUGAGCUAACUAAUUUUUUACUGAAAGUAUUGUAGGCCUUUGUUUUAGUGGGUUAUUUACUUGCUGGAUCCCACAUCCAUUUCAUUAAAAGCCUUUUAAAAAGUGA